rnacentral:rRNA from 1 species
GGGAGCNUUACAUGCAGUCGAGGGGCAUCGGGAGGGAAGCUUGCUUUCCUUGCCGGCGACCGGCGCACGGGUGAGUAACACGUAUGCAACCUGCCCUCUUCAGGGGGACAACCUUCCGAAAGGGAGGCUAAUCCCGCGUAUAUCGGUUUCGGGCAUCCGUUAUCGAGGAAAGAUUCAUCGGAAGAGGAUGGGCAUGCGGCGCAUUAGCUAGACGGCGGGGUAACGGCCCACCGUGGCGACGAUGCGUAGGGGUUCUGAGAGGAAGGUCCCCCACACUGGUACUGAGACACGGACCAGACUCCUACGGGAGGCAGCAGUGAGGAAUAUUGGUCAAUGGGAGAGAUCCUGAACCAGCCAAGCCGCGUGAGGGAAGACGGCCCUAUGGGUUGUAAACCUCUUUUGUCGGAGAACAAAACCCGGGACGAGUCCCGGACUGCGUGUAUCCGAAGAAAAAGCAUCGGCUAACUCCGUGCCAGCAGCCGCGGUAAUACGGAGGAUGCGAGCGUUAUCCGGAUUUAUUGGGUUUAAAGGGUGCGUAGGCGGUCCGUUAAGUCAGCGGUAAAAUUGCGGGGCUCAACCCCGUCGAGCCGUUGAAACUGGCAGACUUGAGUUGGCGAGAAGUACGCGGAAUGCGCGGUGUAGCGGUGAAAUGCAUAGAUAUCGCGCAGAACUCCGAUUGCGAAGGCAGCGUACCGGCGCCAGACUGACGCUGAGGCACGAAAGCGUGGGGAUCGAACAGGAUUAGAUACCCUGGUAGUCCACGCAGUAAACGAUGAAUGCUGGUUGUCCGGGUCGAAUGA